rnacentral:rRNA from 1 species
GACGAAGGAUGCAAGCGUUAUCCGGAUUCAUUGGGUUUAAAGGGUGCGUAGGCGGACUGAUAAGUCAGUGGUGAAAUCUCUUUGCUUAACAAAGAAACUGCCAUUGAUACUGUUAGUCUAGAGUAUAGAUGACGUUGGCGGAAUAUGACAUGUAGUGGUGAAAUACUUAGAUAUGUCAUAGAACACCGAUUGCGAAGGCAGCUAACGAAACUAUAACUGACGCUGAGGCACGAAAGUGCGGGGAUCAAACAGG